rnacentral:sRNA from 1 species
AUGGUCUCAAGACCACUCCGGUUUCUCCGCGCCAUUUACCACCAACUGACGCCUGCUCGUUGCAGCGCGUGAACG